rnacentral:rRNA from 1 species
AGUGAACGCUGGCGGUAGGCCUAACACAUGCAAGUCGAACGGCAGCACAGUAAGAGCUUGCUCUUACGGGUGGCGAGUGGCGGACGGGUGAGGAAUACAUCGGAAUCUACUUUUUCGUGGGGGAUAACGUAGGGAAACUUACGCUAAUACCGCAUACGACCUACGGGUGAAAGCAGGGGAUCUUCGGACCUUGCGCGAUUGAAUGAGCCGAUGUCGGAUUAGCUAGUUGGCGGGGUAAAGGCCCACCAGGGCGACGAUCCGUAGCUGGCCUGAGAGGAUGAUCAGCCACACUGGAACUGAGACACGGUCCAGACUCCUACGGGAGGCAGCAGUGGGGAAUAUUGGACAAUGGGCGCAAGCCUGAUCCAGCCAUACCGCGUGGGUGAAGAAGGCCUUCGGGUUGUAAAGCCCUUUUGUUGGGAAAGAAAAGCAGCAGGUUAAUACCCCGCUGUUCUGACGGUACCCAAAGAAUAAGCACCGGCUAACUUCGUG